rnacentral:rRNA from 1 species
UAAAACGUAGGAUCCGAGCGUUAUCCGAAUUCACUGGGCGUAAAGCGCGUGUAGGCGGUUCGGUAAGUUGGAUGUGAAAGCUCCCGGCUCAACUGGGAGAGGACGUUCAAAACUAUUGGACUAGAGGGCGGAAGAGGGAGGUGGAAUUCCCGGUGUAGUGGUGAAAUGCGUAGAUAUCGGGAGGAACACCAGUGGCGAAGGCGGCCUCCUGGGCCGCACCUGACGCUCAGACGCGAAAGCUAGGGUAGCAAACGGGAUUAGAAACCCCGGUAGUCCUAGCUGUAAACGAUGUAGACUUGGUGUUGGUGGGGUAAAAGCCAUCAGUGCCGGAGCAAACGCGAUAAGUCUACCGCCUGGGGACUACGACCGCAAGGUUA